AUCCUGGCCUUAUUAUUGAUGCUUCCUCACUUACACAUGCAAGUCUCAGCACACCCGUGAGUAACGCCCCUAUUACAUCUUUUGCCAUAAGGAGCUGGUGUCAGGCACAACCAAUUGCCCACAAUACCUAGUCCUACCACGCCCCCAAGGGUAUUCAGCAGUGAUAAAUCUUGAAUAUAAGCGAAAGCUUGAUUCAGUCAGAGGAAAGAGAGCUGGCCAACUUAGUGCCAGCCGCCGCGGCUACACUAGGGGCUCAAGUUAAUAAUUAUCGGCGUUAAGCGUGACUAAAGUCUAAACAAACUAGGGUUAAAUUAAUAUUUAGUAGUGAUAAGCUUGUUAUUAAGAAAAACAUAAACGAAAGUUACCCUACUUAUUAUGCUUAAAUACACGACAGCUAAGAACACAAACUGGGAUUAGAUACCCCACUAUGCCUAGCCGUAAAUAAUCAACUUACACCAACCAACGCCAGGGGACUACGAGCAACGCUUAAAACCCAAAGGACUUGACGGUGUCCCACCCAACUAGAGGAGCCUGUUCUAGAAUCGAUGAUCCCCGCUACACCUCACCACUCCUAGCUUUUUCAGCCUGUAUACCUCCGUCGAAAGUUUACCAUGUGAAUGUCAUCAGUAGACUCAAGGACCUUCCCCGUCAAUAUGUCAGGUCAAGGUGCAGCCCAAGGAGUGGGAAGCAAUGGGCUACAAUUUCUAAGAUAGAACACACGAAAGCCUGUGUGAAACUACAGGCAUGAAGGCGGAUUUAGCAGUAAAAAGAAAACAGAGAGCUCUUUUUAACCCGGCUCUGGGACGUGUACACACCGCCCGUCGCCCUCUUCAACAAACCCAACUUUAUGUUUCUAACCCAUUUUUAUCUUUUUAGAAGAGGUAAGUCGUAACAUGGUAAGUAUACUGGAAAGUGUACUUAGAUCACUA
rnacentral:ncRNA from 1 species